UUUGGCGUUCUUUUAAUAUGAGUUACAUGGUGUUGAAGUAUGGAAAAGAAGCCAUGUAGGUUCAUUAGGCAUAUUGAUUGCUUGCUCAAAGGGUAUAGGAUAGCUCAAUAGGUUAAGGCAUAGGUUAAGGCAUAGGUUUAUCUUUCAGAAGUUGUGGGUUCAAACCCAGGCACAGCCAACGAAAUAUUU